UGGUGUAUUCUAUGGUUUUGGCUGUUGGAUUUCACUCAAAAUACACCAAAUGACUCCUCUCACAACAUUAUGAUGUUUCCCAUGUUUUGUACUCAAUCCGAUAUCGAUUGGUCCAUGAAAUCGGACAAUUUCGGUUCGUACAAGGUUUGUUUUGAAAUGGAGAGGUUGAUGUAUUGCAUAGUUUUGGCAAUUGGAUUUCACUCAAAACUCACCAAACGACUCCUCCCACAACUUU
rnacentral:lncRNA from 1 species